GACGAACGCUGGCGGCGUGCUUAACACAUGCAAGUCGAACGGUGAACCUCUUCGGGGGGGCUCAGUGGCGAACGGGUGAGUAACACGUGGGCAACCUGCCCCCGGCUCUGGGAUAACUCCAAGAAAUUGGGGCUAAUACCGGAUGUUCACCGCUUCCCGCAUGGGUGGUGGUGGAAAGGGUUUCCGGCUGGGGAUGGGCCCGCGGCCUAUCAGCUUGUUGGUGGGGUAGUGGCCUACCAAGGCGACGACGGGUAGCCGGCCUGAGAGGGUGACCGGCCACACUGGGACUGAGACACGGCCCAGACUCCUACGGGAGGCAGCAGUGGGGAAUAUUGCGCAAUGGGCGGAAGCCUGACGCAGCGACGCCGCGUGGGGGAUGACGGCCUUCGGGUUGUAAACCUCUUUCAGCAGGGACGAAGCGCAAGUGACGGUACCUGCAGAAGAAGCACCGGCCAACUACGUG
rnacentral:rRNA from 1 species